GACGAACGCUGGCGGCGUGCCUAACACAUGCAAGUCGAGCGGAGACAGUGAGUAGCUUGCUAUGAGCUGUUUUAGCGGCGGACGGGUGAGUAACGCGUGAGCAACCUUUCCCAGACAGGGGAAUAACACACCGAAAGGUGUACUAAUACCGCAUAAGACCACGGGAUCACAUGGUUCUGGGGUAAAAGAAUUAUCGGUUUGGGGUGGGCUCGCGUCCGAUUAGGUAGUUGGUGAGGUAACGGCCCACCAAGCCGACGAUCGGUAGCCGACCUGAGAGGGUGAUCGGCCACAUUGGGACUGAGACACGGCCCAAACUCCUACGGGAGGCAGCAGUGGGGAAUAUUGGGCAAUGGAGGAAACUCUGACCCAGCAACGCCGCGUGGAGGAAGAAGGUUUUCGGAUCGUAAACUCCUGUC
rnacentral:rRNA from 1 species